GCCCUAUUGGCGAAAUUGGAUAUCGCGUCCGCCUUCUAAGCGGAAGAUUCUGGGUUCGAUCCCCAGAUAGGGUU
rfam:Aureococcus anophagefferens virus isolate BtV-01, complete genome.